rnacentral:rRNA from 1 species
GACGAACGCUGGCGGCGUGCUUAACACAUGCAAGUCGAACGGGUCUGCCCUGUUUUUUGCGGGGUGGGUCAGUGGCGAACGGGUGAGUAACACGUGAGUAACCUGCCCCUCACUUCUGGAUAACCGCUUGAAAGGGUGGCUAAUACGGGGUGUUCUGGCUGUGCCGCAUGGUGUGGCUGGGAAAGAUUCACUUUUGUGGUGUUUUGGUGGGGGAUGGGCUCGCGGCCUAUCAGCUUGUUGGUGGGGUGAUGGCCUGCCAAGGCUUUGACGGGUAGCCGGCCUGAGAGGGUGGGCGGUCACACGGGGACUGAGAUACGGCCCAGACUCCUGCGGGAGGCAGCAGUGGGGGGUAUUGCACAAUGGGCGGAAGCCUGGUGCAGCGACGUUGCGUGAGGGAUGGAGGCCUUCGGGUUGUGAACCUCUUUCGCCGGUGAAGAAGGUCCUGCUCUUUGUGGUGGGGUUGACGGUAGCCGGGUUAUGAAGCGCCGGCUAACUACGUG